rnacentral:tRNA from 1 species
AAUUAUAUAGUCUAAAAAGGAUUUUAAAUUGCAAAUUUAAAGGUAAAUGAGGGAUUUUAUAAUUU